rnacentral:rRNA from 1 species
GACGAACGCUGGCGGCGUGCUUAACACAUGCAAGUCGAACGGUGAUCUUGAGAGCUUGCUCUUGGGUGAUCAGUGGCGAACGGGUGAGUAACACGUGAGUAACCUGCCCCUGACUCUGGAAUAACUUCGGGAAACCGAAGCUAAUACCGGAUAUGACACAGAGCCGCAUGGUUUCUGUGUGGAAAGUUUUUCGGUUGGGGAUGGACUCGCGGCCUAUCAGCUUGUUGGUGAGGUAAUGGCUCACCAAGGCGACGACGGGUAGCCGGCCUGAGAGGGCGACCGGCCACACUGGGACUGAGACACGGCCCAGACUCCUACGGGAGGCAGCAGUGGGGAAUAUUGCACAAUGGGCGAAAGCCUGAUGCAGCGACGCCGCGUGAGGGAUGAAGGCCUUCGGUUGUAACCUCUUUCAGUAGGAAGAAGCGACAAGUGACGGUACCUACAGAAGAAGCACCGGCUAACUACGUGCCAGCAGCCGCGGUAAAAUACACGUGUACG